GGGUGUGAUCAUACCAGCGUUAAUUCAUCGUAUCUCAUCAGAACUCCGCAAUAAAGCAUGCUUGGGCUAGAAUAGUACUGGGAUGGGUGACCUCCCGGUAAGUCCUGGUGUUGCACCCU
rnacentral:rRNA from 1 species